UGGGAGGGUCUUUCCUAUGCUGUUCCUAAGCUCACAAAAUCUGAUGGCUUUAUAAACAGGAGUUUGCCUGCACAAGCUCUUUUUUUCUUUCUGGCCGCUGUCCACGUAAGAUGUGACUUGCUCCUCUUUGCCUUCUGCCAUGAUUGUGAAGCUUCCUAAGCCACGUGGAACUGAACUCUAAACUAUAACUAAACUGUGACCCCUCUUAAGCUCUUUACUUUGGACUUCCUGGAUCUUUCCAAUACUGUACAUUUGAAUCCCUAAUGGUGAGAAGAUCAACUUCUAUUAUUUUUUCUGGAGAAGACAUAUAACCCAUCCAGAUUUGAGGUCAGACAGUUAAAUGUCUUUUUGUAUGUAUGUAUGUAUGUAUUUACUUAUUUAUUUAUUUAUUUGCUCAUUUAUUUUUUGAGACAGGGUCUCGCUCUGUCACCCAGGCUGGAGUGCAGUGGCGUGAUCUCAGCCUACUGCAAACUCUACCUCCUUGGUUGAAGAGAUUCUCCUGCCUCAUCCUCCCAUGUAGCUGGGAUUACAGGUGUGCACC
rnacentral:lncRNA from 10 species